rnacentral:rRNA from 1 species
AUUGAACGCUGGCGGGAGGCCUAACACAUGCAAGUCGAACGAGUGGCGGACGGGUGCGUAAUGUCUGGGAAACUGCCUGAUGGAGGGGGAUAAAUACUGGAAACGGUAGCUAAUACCGCAUACCAUCAGAAGUGCCCAGACGGGAUUAGAUAGUUGGUGGGGUAACGGCUCACCAAGGCGACGAUCCCUAGCUGGUCUGAGAGGAUGACGAUCCACACUGGAACUGAGACGCGGUCCAGACUCCUACGGGAGGCAGCAGUGGGGAAUAUUGCACAAGGGGCGCAAGCCUGAUGCAGCCAUGCCGCUUGUAUGAAGAAGGCCUUCGGGUUGGAAAGUACUUUCUGCGGGGAGGCGUUACCCUCAGAGGAAGCACCGGCUAACUCCGUGACAGCAGCCGCGGUAAUAC